rnacentral:misc_RNA from 1 species
GACGGCAAUGAGUGACAACAAGAAAGUGUGGCAAGAGAUUGUAGCAACAGAAGGACUAGUAGAGACAGAGAUGGAAGAUCUGGCCAAUUGGGAGUUCUUGGAUGUCUUGUUUCGUUGUCCAGUGAAACUGCUCGGGAAUCGAGAGAAGGCUAAUCGGCUGGGUUUUACCAUGAGAUGCAAAACAAUGGAAUCAAUCUUGUAUUGGAUUGAUUCCAUGAGGAGUGACAAAUUAAUUCCUUAAUCUUUCAUUAGAUCUUUAAUUUGGGAUUUUG